rnacentral:rRNA from 1 species
ACAGAGGGUGCGAACGUUGCUCGGAAUUAUUGGGCGUAAAGCGCACGUAGGCGGUUUGUUAAGUUGGAUGUGAAAACCCCGGGCUCAACCCUGGAAGUGCAUCCAAAACUGGCAAGCUAGAGUGUCGGAGGGGGUCGGAGAAUUCCCGGUGUAGAGGUGAAAUUCGUAGAUAUCGGGAGGAACAUCUGUGGCGAAGGCGCCGACCUGGACGACAACUGACGCUGAGGUGCGAAAGCAUGGGGAGCAAACAGG